UUGAUCCUGGCUCAGGACGAACGCUGGCGGCGUGCUUAACACAUGCAAGUCGAGCGGUAAGGCCUUUCGGGGUACACGAGCGGCGAACGGGUGAGUAACACGUGGGUGAUCUGCCCUGCACUUCGGGAUAAGCCUGGGAAACUGGGUCUAAUACCGGAUAUGACCUCCUAUCGCAUGGUGGGUGGUGGAAAGAUUUAUCGGUGCAGGAUGGGCCCGCGGCCUAUCAGCUUGUUGGUGGGGUAAUGGCCUACCAAGGCGACGACGGGUAGCCGACCUGAGAGGGUGACCGGCCACACUGGGACUGAGACACGGCCCAGACUCCUACGGGAGGCAGCAGUGGGGAAUAUUGCACAAUGGGCGAAAGCCUGAUGCAGCGACGCCGCGUGAGGGAUGACGGCCUUCGGGUUGUAAACCUCUUUCAGCAGGGACGAAGCGCAAGUGACG
rnacentral:rRNA from 1 species